rnacentral:rRNA from 1 species
AAGCUCGUAGUUGAAUUUCGGGAUUGGCAUAUCGGUCGUGCCUUCGGGCACGUACUGGUAGUUGUUAAUCUCCACCUUCUAGUGAACUAUUAUGCCUUUUACUAGGUGUAAUAGGGAGCUAGGACUGUUACUUUGAAAAAAUUAGAGUGUUUAAAGCAGGCUUUAAGCUUGAAUAGAUUAGCAUGGAAUAACGAAAUAGGACGGCAUGAUUCUAUUUUGUUGGUUUCUAGGAUCACCGUAAUGAUUAAUAGGGAUAGUUGGG